GGGUAAACGGCGGGAGUAAC
rnacentral:ncRNA from 3 species